UUCCAUUCUUAAAGGAUUACAUUACAAGAUUCCAAAGGAUAUUCUAGCCAAAGUAGAAAUAGAGCAAAAUUCACUAACCAGGAGAGCAGGUCACUGACUUUCCACCAAUCAGCACACAGCAGUUUCACAUUCUUUAGAGUGGAUUUUGAGACUUGCAAAUAGAAAUGAAAUCCCUCAAGGUAUCACAGGAAGAGAAUGAGGAGUGUGCCCUUCUGAAAACUUGUGAACAAAUAAUGUCUCCAGAAGAUGUCUGAUGUAGUGUAAACAGUGACAGAAGCAGGCCAAGCUGCAAGGAAAAAAAAAAGUUAAAUUAAGGUCUACCUGUGGAACCAACCACAUGCCUCAGGUGUUUAAAAGCUACAAAGUGCUCGAGUGUCCCACUGCAGCCCUGGAACCGCACUUUACAAAUAUGCAAAGACAAAGCAGAGUGAAAGACCACCCUUAGUUUGCUCAAAGCAAGAUGGAUUUCUGCUCUUUUCUGAUCCAUGACUAUAUGGCUCAGGUGUUUUGUGAAGAAUCACACGUCGGAUUUCAGAAAGAACCUGGAGCAUGUUCUGAGAGAGCAAUAAAUCAUAUGCAGGAGUAUUUUAAUGCUAAUAAUGCCUAUAAGAGAUGCCAUUAUGCACC